rnacentral:rRNA from 1 species
UGGAGGCAGCAGUGGGGAAUAUUGCGCAAUGGGCGAAAGCCUGACGCAGCAACGCCGCGUGCGGGAUGGAGGCCCUCGGGUUGUAAACCGCUUUCAGUAGGGAAGAAAAUGACGGUACCUACAGAAGAAGCCCCGGCCAACUACGUGCCAGCAGCCGCGGUAACACGUAGGGGGCAAGCGUUGUCCGGAUUUAUUGGGCGUAAAGAGCUCGUAGGCGGUUUCGUAAGUCGGAUGUGAAAACUCCAGGCUCAACUUGGAGACGCCAUUCGAUACUGCGAUGACUUGAGUCCGGUAGGGGAGUGUGGAAUUCCUGGUGUAGCGGUGAAAUGCGCAGAUAUCAGGAGGAACACCGGCGGCGAAGGCGGCACUCUGGGCCGGUACUGACGCUGAGGAGCGGAAGCGUGGGUAGCAAACAGGAUUAGAUACCCUGGUAGA